rnacentral:rRNA from 1 species
GACGAACGCUGGCGGCGUGCUUAACACAUGCAAGUCGAACGGAAAGGCCCUGCUUUUGUGGGGUGCUCGAGUGGCGAACGGGUGAGUAACACGUGAGUAACCUGCCCUUGACUUUGGGAUAACUUCAGGAAACUGGGGCUAAUACCGGAUAGGAGCUCCUGCUGCAUGGUGGGGGUUGGAAAGUUUCGGCGGUUGGGGAUGGACUCGCAGCUUAUCAGCUUGUUGGUGGGGUAGUGGCUUACCAAGGCUUUGACGGGUAGCCGGCCUGAGAGGGUGACCGGCCACAUUGGGACUGAGAUACGGCCCAGACUCCUACGGGAGGCAGCAGUGGGGAAUAUUGCACAAUGGGCGGAAGCCUGAUGCAGCAACGCCGCGUGCGGGAUGACGGCCUUCGGGUUGUAAACCGCUUUCGCCUGUGACGAAGCGUGAGUGACGGUAAUGGGUAAAGAAGCACCGGCUAACUACGU